rnacentral:misc_RNA from 1 species
UUAAAUGAUAGCCAGUUCUCUCUGUUUCGGCAGAGAUUGAGCAGGCAUUAACCCUUUGUGAACUGUUAUUUUACUUGGUAGGUUCAAUCUUAUCCUUCAAGCUUCGGCGAAGAGGGUAGGAAAGUUCCUACCGCCAUUUAAAACCAACCCCUUAUAUGAUUAUCCGAAAUUGAGUUAAUGAGAAAA